GCGCGGAAUAAGUAAACGAACCCUGACUUGUAAUCAGUAGGUCCCGGGUUCGAUUCCUGGUGCCGGCACCA
rnacentral:tRNA from 1 species